UCAGCUACCUGUGCAUGGAAAGGAGGGUUCCCGUUCGCUAGGCGCGCAAGUGAGAGGCAGAACGGGAGUGUGCGCCAAGGUGUGUUUGCUUGUUGUCGCCGGUGCAGUGUUUCUUGUCCCUAGCGCCAGCUUCGCGCCAUCCCAGUGAGUUUGAUUGAAAUGCGACCUCAGGAAAGUGUGGAACCGGGAAGAGGGUGCUAGGCGGGAGGGAAGAGGGACGGAACCUGGAGAAAACCGGGAAGGACCGGCCAAAAGUCACCGCAGCGGCUCUGCGAGCUGCUUGGGGACUGCUAUUUUGAAAUGCGGCGACUGCCACUCCGGGGCGCAGGAUACCAGGGUCAAGUGUCACUUCCUCUGGCGGUCAAUCUCCAAUAUUCCUUGUAAUGUUUUUAAAUGGACGAAUUCAUUACUUGGGGACGUGUGAAUGGAGAGUGUUGGAGAGCCGGCUUGAUCAAUAGCGUCUACUGAUGGUUCAUUUUUCACUGCGGAGCGAGGAUCGCGGAGCUGAAGAAAGACCUAAUCAAUAACGCGCACCACGGACUGGAAAAGAUGCCCACAGUGUGUGGCCUUCUGGGGAUUUUGAGAGCUAUAUGGGGCUCUGAGGAGCAGCAGGCACCAUCUGAAAGCUUUUACAGUUCACCACAACCAUGGUGGAAUGACAAAGCUUCCUGAGAAUGCUCUUAUAUGGGGCUCUCCACCUGACCACCACUUCCCCUGUGCAGGAUGCCAGUUGGAAGCAGGAAUUGAAUCCACCAGAGUCCAUCCAUUGUUGUGAGCUCCUGGUUCUGGUGCUAUAUUCUUGUCAGUUCUCUUAUUUCUCCAGUAUUUCUCCUAUAUCUCGUCAGCACACAAUUAACAUCUCUGAUAGUUCUCUCCCCAACAAAAAAUAAAUCUGUAAAAUUUAUCUCUAGAUAAAUCUCUAGAGCCAGGUACCUGAGGUUCAAGGCUGAUAAGGAGCUCGGAUUCCUGAAUUUGGCAUCCACUGAGCAGCACCUCCAGCUAUCAGCUUCUCAACCAGCGAGGUCCCUGCAGAAGCAUCCUCAGCUGAGUCCAGAACCUGAUUUCCACUGAUCAUUCAAAUAUGGGUCCUUGUGUCAUGACUACUGAACUGGAAGCUGCUAGUACCCAGGUCGAUAAAGGCACAAAUCCAA